AGUGAACGCUGGCGGUAGGCCUAGCACAUGCAAGUCGAACGGCAGCACAGUAAGAGCUUGCUCUUACGUGUGUCGAGUGUCGGACGGGGGAGGAAUACAUCGGAAUCUACUUUUUCGUGGGGGAUAACGUAGGGAAACUUACGCUAAUACCGCAUACGACCUACGGGUGAAAGCAGGGGAUCUUCGGACUUUGCGCGAUUGAAUGAGCCGAUGUCGGAUUAGCUAGUUGGCGGGGUAAAGGCACACCAAGGCGACGAUCCGUAUCUGGUCUGAGAGGAUGAUCCGCUACACUGGAACUGAGACACGGUCCAGACUCCUACGGGAGGCAGCAGUGGGGAAUAUUGGACAAUGGGCGCAAGCCUGAUCCAGCCAUACCGCGUGGGUGAAGAAGGCCUUCGGGUUGUAAAGCCCUUUUGUUGGGAAAGAAAAGCAGCAGGUUAAUACCCCGCUGUUAUGACGGUACCCAAAGAAUAAGCACCGGCUAACUCCGUG
rnacentral:rRNA from 1 species